UACGUAGGGUGCGAGCGUUGUUCGGAUUUAUUGGGCGUAAAGAGCUCGUAGGCGGCUUGUCGCGUCGAGUGUGAAAUCCUGCGGCUCAACUGCAGGCUUGCAUUCGAUACGGGCAGGCUGGAGUUCGGUAGGGGAGACUGGAAUUCCUGGUGUAGCGGUGAAAUGCGCAGAUAUCAGGAGGAACACCGGUGGCGAAGGCAGCCCCCCUGGGCUAACACUGACGCUCAUGCACGAAAGCGUGGGGAGCAAACAGG
rnacentral:rRNA from 1 species